AACGCAUAUUGCGCUCUCUGGUAUUCCGGAGAGCAUGCUUGUUUGAGUAUCAGUAAACACCUCAAAUCUCUCACUUUUUUGUGUGAUAUUUGGAUUUGAGUGAUCCUAACACUUUUUUUUUGUUAAAAAAAAGUUGGCAGGCCACUUGAAAUGCAGGUGCAGCUGAACAUUCUUCUGAGCUAAAAGCAUAAUUUAUUUAGUCCUGCUUCUUUGCUGGAUUAUUACUUUUGCUGCAGCUUAUAUAAAGGUUGAUUGUUUGCUGACUGAUGCAGGAAUUUAUCAGUUUGAAAAAACUGUGAAUCUCGAUCUCAAAUCAAGUAAGACUACCCGCUGAACUUAA
rnacentral:misc_RNA from 1 species